UGGCAGCAUAUUUUUCACCACCUUAAAAUUAGAAGAAUACAGAAAAGACUAGUAUGGCCCCUGUUGCAAAGAUAAUAUACAAAUUCAUAACGUGUUCCGUAUUUAA
rnacentral:snRNA from 1 species